GGGCGCGCUCAGGCCAGGCCCGCCUCCCCUGGUUUUCGCUUUCGCUUUGCAGCUUCUCUGGAGAGAAACAAAGGGGCUGCGACGACUGGAGAUGCGGCAGCGGUGAGGGGAGCGCAGCAGCCUGAACCCCGGGCCCGCAGGCAAGAUGGCAGCAUGUCCUGGGCCUCCUUGUGAGAGCAAGAGACUUGGACAGCUAAGAAAGAAAAAAAUGGACUCCCUCCCCCUGAAGACAUGCUGGAAAGCCAGCCAUGAGUGAGAGAUCCAGCCCAUGAGAGGACCAAUCCCUGCCAGUAGCUACCUGUCAGAUUAGAAUAGAGAUGAACCUCAACCAAGGACCAGGAUGCGAGUGAGCAAGUACUCAGCAUGCAGAGGGCACAUCAACUGCUUGGUUCUUCGUGGACAACCUGUGAGUCUAGCGGCAAACACAAGGUUUUGCAUUUAUGUCAAGAAGACUUUUCACCAAAUCCCUUUCAGGCACAACACUGGGUUGGAAAUCAUAAAGGAGCUGUUAACCACAACCCAGUAAAUGUAUAUUUGAACUCAAAAACAAGACGUCAUGUAUGCAACCCUAGCCUGCUGGGGAUACUGGAAUUAUCCAUCCUUUCCUCUUACUCGCUCCCCAGCUUAUAUUCCCGUCUCAGUCCCAGUUCCAGAGGCUCUGGUUGUCGUUUUCACACACACACACACACACACACACACACACACACACACACACACACACACACACUGCUCCUUAGCAACACUCCAGGGUACAUGAUGACAGACACCUGGUUACUGCCAUCAUCAGUUAAUCUUUUGACAACCAGAGAAUAAACAGUAAGAGAAAAGAGAGAGAGUCCAGAGUCCACAGUGAACCACCAUAUGCCGAGGACUCUGGCUCAACUGCUCUAGACACUGCUACCCACAUCGCCCCCACCCCCUCUCUGUCUCUCAGGUAGUCAGUGUUUCACUGUGGAACAGCUCUGGCUACUGGGACUCCCUCUGUAGACCAGGCUGGCCCCAAACUCACAGAGAGCCACCUGCCUCUGCCUUCCGAGUGCUGGGAUUAAAGGGCAUGCGUCAGCACCUCAUGGCUCUUUCUUUUGCUUAAACUUCCAUUUAUCCAUAAAGGUCCUUUCUCUGCAUUUAUCACAAGCCCAGUGCUGGGAGCCAACUGAUGGGCUGUCCCACCCACCCAUCCCUUGCCUCUGGCUUCUGGUCAGGUUUACUCAAUGGACAGCACUAGCAAGAAAUCAACGAAGAUUACGACAAAGUUAAUAAACCUUGGGGCUGGCUGAGAUUGCUCAGUGGGAAAAGGUGCUUACCACCAAACCCGAGGAACUGAGUGCAGUUCCUAGGAGCUACAUGGUAGAAAGAGAACAGACUCCUACAAGUUGUCUUCUGACUUCCACACGUGCACUAGAGCAUAUGUUUCCCCCAACCCAACAUACACAUAUAAAAAGUUUAACACCCCCUUGGUCUCUACCCAGUUAUUUCAUCCCCCCUUAGAUCCCACAGCUGCUGCCAGGUGCCCUUUCCAGCAGCUGUUACCCCUCCCUUCCCACACGCCAUCAUCAAGCUGCAGGUGCUAACUGCUGCCCACCAUUGCUCGCUGCUAUCGGUUGCUAGCCCCCAGAAACUCCACUCUCCAGGACUGCAGUCAGCCCCUCCCACACUCCUGUAAAUGUGCGCCCCCCCCCACUUGAGUAUGUCCUGCCACAUACACGAGGUAACAGCUCUCUCAGCCCCGUUUGAAGACAUCGAAGCGGAGACUCGGAGAAGCUCAAGAGCCUGUUGAGGGAGUGGGGGCCACACCUCAGGUGAACAGCAGAGUGGAUCUCCAUUCCAGCUGUUGGAGAGUGUGUGUGUUGUCCUUAGGUUAGAUUGCUUCCUUCCCACACGCUACAAUUCACCUCCCCGGACUUUCACCUCCCCGGACUCCGUGUAUCUGUUUACUCCAGCCUUUUGUUUCUCAAUCCGCAACCAUGUUUUUUUAAAGUCUGAGAAUUCUGAGUGCUAAAAGAAGGCUUUCUGGUAAUUGUGAGAAUUGACUGGUAGCUGGCCAAGAUGGAGAAAGGGCCACACCUGUUGCAACAGACUGGCGUGAACUUGACCGCCCCAUGCUUACGGUGCCCUCGCUGUGGUCUGUCCCUUGCCCUGAAGGACACACCCCUGACAUCACAGCCCCUGGGGGCUGAAAUAAAGUUCCCAGUCUGCCAAAGAGGUAAUCUGGGGUUACCUAAUGUUGUUCCCACUUCUCAACACUAGCCCUACACUUUAUUCUCACUAAAAGGCAGAGACACGAUACAGUAUUGUGGUCCUUCAGUGGCUGGCUUUCAUGAUCUAUGGAGACACCCCAAACCAGGACAGUCCUGAAACUGCUGAUUCAGUUUGCAUGAGGAUAUUACUUUUUAUUUUAAGGAACUUUCAAAAUCACCUAAAAUUUAAUUGUAGACGUAGUUUAGCGCUAGAGAAUCCUUGGGUGUGGAGUUUCCCGGCCCUUUUACAUCACUUGAGGUUGGACACUCUGAGGAUGAUGGCCAGGAAGUCGCAGUUGGGCUCCAGGCUACCUAGUAGCCAAAGACCUUUUAAAGCUUGGAACUUGGCUCAAGAGCAGCUGUCUCCUCCCUUGUCUCAGCUCCUCUAGGGGAGACCACAGAAGACUGACCCUUCAAAAAAUCUUUUCAUUGUAAAAUUUUUUUAAAAAAUAAUUUUUAAAUUUUAUUUAUUUAUUUUUUGCUGUACAAUGGAUACUCUUCUUGCCUCCACAGGCACUAGAAUAUAUAUGGCACACAUAUACAUACUGGCAAGACAACCAUAUACAUCAAAAAUCUACCAACUAGUCAGCACUUUAAUUCCAGCACGUGGGAGGCAGAAAUAGGCAGAUCUCUGAGUUCAAGUCCAGCCUAGUCUACAAAUGAACUAUAGGAUGGCCAGGGCUAUAUUAAGAAACUCUAUCUGGAAAAUUAUUAUUAUUAUUAUUUUAAAUGUAUUUGGGAUGUGUACAAAUACUACAUCUGGUGUAUGAAUAUUAGAGGACAACUAGCAGGAGUCUGUCCUUCCACCAUGUGCAGUUUGGGGGUUUGACCCAGGUUGUCAGAUUUAGUGGUGGGUACCUUUACCUGCUGAACCAUUUCAGCCCACAUCCUUUUUUAAUAAAAUUAUUAUUAAUUUUAUUUUAUGUGCAUUGGUGUUUUGCCCGCAUGUAUAUGUGGGUGAGGGUGUCAGAUCCUCUGGAACUGCAGUUACAGACAGUUGUGAGCUGCCAUGUGGGUGCUGGGAAUUGAACCCAGGUCUUCUGGAAGAGCACCCAAUGCUCUUGACCACUGAGCCAUCUCUUCAGCCCCCCUCAUCCUGUUUUUCUAGAUGAGGGUGCAAUGGCCAGCACUCUGGCAGUUACCACAGACAAUAAGAAUGAGAGUUUACGUUAUAUAUAGGGGGAAGGUGAGAUAGACGGAGCCUGUGACCCUAAUAAUGACUUCUGGGACUAGCAUACCAACCCUGGAAAAAUGACAUCUUCCAGCUUGUUUUCCGUUUUACUUUUAUAUUGGAAAGAAAGUUCUGUCUUGUUUAAGCCACUGUUUACUGUUUUAUAUAGCUGAGCCAGGUAUUAAACAACUAUAACGUUC